rnacentral:rRNA from 1 species
GUCUAUGACCAUACCACCCUGAACCCACCCAAUCUCACUUAAUCUCAGAGAUAAGCAGGGCUGGGCCUGAUUAGUACUUGGGUAGGAGACAUAAACCCUUCCUUCCAUGUCAUCACUGGCAACUGUCAUGGACC